AAACCGUAUAACCACCGGAUUUACAUGAAGAUGACCUAGUGGAGACAAGCUGGACCUCACCUUACCAACAAGCUAUCAAAUCUGUUAUGUUUAAACAGUGAGACCUCCAAGGAAGGAGAUGCCAAGUAGUGCUUCAAAGCUUCGGACCACAAUCAAACACAGCAUCCUUUUCAACAGAAGCAGAAGCUCAUCUGAAUAUGCUCAAGGAUGCUGACAUCAACAUUUAAUCAUCUCCUCACUCAUCCAGGAAGAAGGGGAGAUCAGAACUUGAAUUCAAUAUUCUUUUGGAGCAAGCUGAAUGAUUUUGAGCACACGCCCCGCCGAGGAUGAGUGCACAUGAACUCCCUGCCUGGUCCAGCUCUCCUGUCAGGUGUGUUUCUGCUCCACAGAUGGCCUACGUUCAUCUUGAUGGUGAAGUGGCAUCAAAAGAAAGGCACCCUAGAAACCUAUCUCACCAAAGCAGCGUCUCUGUACCACAGAGAUGAAAGUCGUAGAUAACAGGGGCAUUCCCAGCACUCACUCCCUUGUGGGUAGCUGACAGUUAACACAGG
rnacentral:lncRNA from 1 species